rnacentral:ncRNA from 1 species
CUGGGAGGAGCCAGGGCUCUGACCGCAUGCCUGUUGAAUAAUGAGCCAUCGACUCUAGGUAGCGGAUUGGUUAAGGGAACCCAACGGAGUCGUAGCAAAAACGAGUCUUUAUAGAGCAAUUGUCACUACUUAUGGACCCGAACCUGGGGGAUCUAUCCAUGACCAGGAUGAAGCUUGGGUGAAACUAAGUGGAUGUCCGAACCAUGUAAGGGCAUAGAGGCUUGAUGCAGUGGCCUUCAGAAUUAACUGGUUCAACUUCAAAGCCAGUUAGACUAAUUCUAGC